GAACAGCAGGGACCUGACGGCAGCCCCCGCACCCCUCCCUGGGCUGAAGUUCAGGCUGUCUCAUCCCUUGCCAGGAGCUCAGGGCUGAGCUAGGUUGGCAGGGGAUGGGUUGAGGGUCUGUUGUCCAGCAGAUUGCCCGGGCCCCACCCAGGCCACUCAGAAAACACCUGUGAGAGCCCCGCAGGCAUGCAGGGCACUGUCGUGAGCACACCAGUGGGGACAGACGUCCAGGCAGGAGGGAGCAGCCAGACCCCCAUCCCGCCAGGGUCACCAGCUGGGCAUGGUGGCGCAUGCCUGUAAUCCUAGCUAUUCGGGAGGCUGAGACAGGAGAAUCACUUGAACCCGGGAGGCGGAGGUUAUGGAGAGCCAAGAUCGCACCACUGCACCCCAGCCUGGGCAACAAGAGUAAAACUCCGUCUCAAAAAAAAAAAAAAAAGAAGAAA
rnacentral:lncRNA from 10 species